UAGGCGGCAGGUUGUAGCCCUGUGCAGGCGGGUUUAGUCCCGUUCUUAUCAA
rnacentral:tRNA from 1 species